rnacentral:rRNA from 1 species
CCUACGGGAGGCAGCAGUGGGGAAUAUUGGACAAUGGGCGAAAGCCUGAUCCAGCAAUGCCGCGUGAGUGAUGAAGGCCUUAGGGUCGUAAAGCUCUUUUACCCGGGAUGAUAAUGACAGUACCGGGAGAAUAAGCCCCGGCUAACUCCGUGCCAGCAGCCGCGGUAAUACGGAGGGGGCUAGCGUUGUUCGGAAUUACUGGGCGUAAAGCGUGCGUAGGCGGUUAUUCAAGUCAGAGGUGAAAGCCCGGGGCUCAACCCCGGAACGGCCUUUGAAACUAGGUAGCUAGAAUCUUGGAGAGGUCAGUGGAAUUCCGAGUGUAGAGGUGAAAUUCGUAGAUAUUCGGAAGAACACCAGUGGCGAAGGCGACUGACUGGACAAGUAUUGACGCUGAGGCACGAAAGCGUGGGGAGCAAACAGGAUUAGAUACCCUGGUAGUCCACGCCGUAAACGAUGAUAACUAGCUGUUCGGUACGUUGUAUCUGAGUGGCGCAGCUAACGACAUUAAGUUAUUCCGUCCGUCGGGUAGGUACGGUCGGCGAAGAAUUAAAACUUAAAAGGUAAAGUUAGUACGGCGUGAGACGUGCCGACGGACGACACGAGGGAGGAGG